GACGAACGCUGGCGGCGUGCUUAACACAUGCAAGUCGAACGGUGAAGCGCCUUCCUUUUUGGUGGGUGUUGAUGAGUGGCGAACGGGUGAGUAACACGUGAGUAACCUGCCCCCUUCUUCUGGAUAACCGCAUGAAAGUGUGGCUAAUACGGGAUAUUCUGGGUCUGUCGCAUGAUGGGUCUGGGAAAGAUAUUGUUUCGGUGGGGGAUGGGCUCGCGGCCUAUCAGCUUGUUGGUGGGGUGAUGGCCUACCAAGGCGGUGACGGGUAGCCGGCCUGAGAGGGUGGACGGUCACACUGGGACUGAGACACGGCCCAGACUCCUACGGGAGGCAGCAGUGGGGAAUAUUGCACAAUGGGCGCAAGCCUGAUGCAGCGACGCCGCGUGAGGGAUGGAGGCCUUCGGGUUGUGAACCUCUUUCGCCAGUGAAGCAGGCCUGCCUCGUUUGUGGGUGGGUUGACGGUAGCUGGAUAAGAAGCGCCGGCUAACUACGUG
rnacentral:rRNA from 1 species